CAAGGUUAAAACUCAAAUGAAUUGACGGGGGCCCGCACAAGCGGUGGAGCAUGUGGUUUAAUUCGAUGCAACGCGAAGAACCUUACCUACUCUUGACAUCCAGAGAACUUAGCAGAGAUGCUUUGGUGCCUUCGGGAACUCUGAGACAGGUGCUGCAUGGCUGUCGUCAGCUCGUGUUGUGAAAUGUUGGGUUAAGUCCCGCAACGAGCGCAACCCUUAUCCUUUGUUGCCAGCGGUUAGGCCGGGAACUCAAAGGAGACUGCCAGUGAUAAACUGGAGGAAGGUGGGGAUGACGUCAAGUCAUCAUGGCCCUUACGAGUAGGGCUACACACGUGCUACAAUGGCGCAUACAAAGAGAAGCGACCUCGCGAGAGCAAGCGGACCUCAUAAAGUGCGUCGUAGUCCGGAUUGGAGUCUGCAACUCGACUCCAUGAAGUCGGAAUCG
rnacentral:rRNA from 1 species